GCUAAUACCGCAUAAUGUCGCAAGACCAAAGUGGGGGACCUUCGGGCCUCAUGCCAUCAGAUGUGCCCAGAUGGGAUUAGCUAGUAGGUGGGGUAACGGCUCACCUAAGCGACGAUCCCUAGCUGGUCUGAGAGGAUGACCAGCCACACUGGAACUGAGACACGGUCCAGACUCCUACGGGAGGCAGCAGUGGGGAAUAUUGCACAAUGGGCGCAAGCCUGAUGCAGCCAUGCCGCGUGUGUGAAGAAGGCCUUCGGGUUGUAAAGCACUUUCAGCGG
rnacentral:rRNA from 1 species